UUCUAUUUUUCAUAAUUUUAUUGAAUUAUCUAUAUGAUAAUUUCAGUAUGAUUUGAUCUGGUCGAUCAGAUUUGUUGAAUCAUAUCGUCUGAAGAGUCCAAGAUGAAUUUUCUCUAAAAUUGUCUCUUUGGAUCGAUUUCUCUCUCUAAAAAGAUUUAUCAAUGAUAAUUUUUUUUUAAUAUUUCUGAUCUGAUGAAGAAUCCUGAUCCAUGAUUGUCGGGCAGCAUACUGGCACUCAUCUUGAUCAGAUCCGAUUUUUCUCAAUUUGAUUAUCCAUGAUUCUGAUUUAACCAUGACUUAGAUUAAAUCAUUUUGAUCACACCAAUCGAGAUGUUGGACUGUGGCACCUGAUUAAUUUGGAUUGUAUCUCAUGAAUUCUCUCUCUGAUUUUUUUCUCUCUAUUUGAUUCAUGAACCC
rnacentral:lncRNA from 1 species